rnacentral:lncRNA from 1 species
GAUAACAUACUUUUCGGGUGUUAAAACCCCCGCAAAUACAGGGGGCUAAAACCCCCGCAAAUACUGGGGGUUAAAACUCUCGCAAAUAUCGGGGGUUACACACCGGCCCAUACAAACACAUAUAUUACACACACAUACACAAACCUAUACUUACACUUCCAUUCACCUACACACACAUAUCACCCACAUAAACACACGCAAACACAAAUACACACAUCACAUACACAAACACAUAGACACAC